UUUAGCAAUGUUUCUCUUGUGCAUGUUAGUUAAUGAAACCACGGUGAUAUCACUGGCUUGUCCCUGAGUGUUUCUCCUGUGGCCACUAGGUGCUGUCAGUGAUGCGGAGAUGCAGGAGCACUAGGUGAGUCAGUGACACGUCAGCUACUGGUAUUAUCACACUAUAAAUCCACUUGAAAGGAGUGGAUGAUGCAACUCUUGGUUACCUUGCAUCUCUUCCCCCACCACACAGCCCAUGUGAGAGUCGAUGACAAAAUACUGACACCAAGUGAAACCGACUAGAAAUAUUGAAAAAAAAAAAUUUGGGACCAUUUUUGGGAAAUGCGCUUUGAAUUCAAGCAAACUUGAGACUUAGUGUUUUCCCCUUUUCUGUCUGCCAAUUCACCUCUCCCUUUGUUUCUCUUGUUGUAUGAGGUCUUCACAGAGAUGGAGAAGUAUGGAGAGGUGGAGGAGAUGAAUGUGCGACAACUUGGGAGACCAUCUGGUUGGAAACGUAUACGUGAAGAACGUCAUUUCGCGCACACACACACCAACUCUGUGAUGGUUUCUGUGUGUAGUUCCGUCGUGAGGAAAACGCGGAGAAGGCAGUGAUGGAUCUGAAUAACCGCUGGUUCAACGGUCAACCAAUCCACGCCGAGCUCUCUCCCGUUACAGACUUCAGAGAAGCCUGCUGCCGCCAGUACGAGAUGGGGGAGUGCACUCGAGGACGCUUCUGUAACUUCAUGUACGGUACCUGAAACCCAUCUCCAGGGAGCUGAGGGAGCUGUACGGACGCCGCAGGAAGAAGGGAGGGGGGCAUCGUUCUCGCUCCCGUUCCAGGGAACGCCGUUCUCGCUCGAGGGAUAGAGGCCCAGGGGAGGCGGGCGCGACCGCGAGAAGACGUUCCAGAGAACGCUCUGGAAGGUUCUAAACCAAGCCACCACUUCACGUCCAUCUCACCUUCCAUCUCCAUUAUCACUCUCCAUCCAUCCUCAAAUCCCUAUAUCUUUCCCUCCAUUGCGGCCUUUCAAUUCCCCGUUGGCCCUUUCAUAUUGUCCCAAUGAAUACAAAAAUUUGGAAAAUGUUGGACUUGUUAUUCUUUUUUAUAAUUUUUAUUCAAGAAAUGUAAAGCUUGCCUUCUCAAUAAAAAAAAAUGUAAACAUGA